UACGUAGGUGGCAAGCGUUGUCCGGAAUUAUUGGGCGUAAAGCGCGCGCAGGCGGUCCUUUAAGUCUGAUGUGAAAGCCCACGGCUCAACCGUGGAGGGUCAUUGGAAACUGGGGGACUUGAGUACAGAAGAGAAGAGUGGAAUUCCACGUGUAGCGGUGAAAUGCGUAGAGAUGUGGAGGAACACCAGUGGCGAAGGCGGCUCACUGGCUCGUAUCUGACGCUCAGGCGCGACAGCGUGGGGAUCAAACAGG
rnacentral:rRNA from 1 species